AUGUUGUCUACCAAGACACAAUUUUUUUUUUGUUGGCUCAUACUAAAUGACAGGAUCAAUACAUGUGACCUUUUGAUUAGAAAGAGCAUGCACCUUGACUCCACUGUAUGUUCUCUAUGCAACAAUGAAGAUUAUGAAGAUAGGACUCAUCUUCUAUUCACUUGCCCAUAUAGUCAAGGAUUCUGGUGGAACAUUGGCUUUGAAUGGAGCUCUGAUUUGGAGAUCAACUCUAUGAUCAUUGAUGCUAAACACAAAUAUAAAACUGGCCACUUCAUGGAAAUCAUGAUUCUUGGAUGCUGGAGCAUAUGGAACCAAAGGAAUGGAUUGAUUUUUGAGGGGACACCUUGCUCAAUAAAUGAGUGUAAGAAUGACUUCAUUAGAUAUUUCAAGAUGACCAUGCUGAGGGCUAAACCCACUCUAAAAGAGGGCAUGUCCUCAUGGAUAGAUAAUAUUUAA
rnacentral:rRNA from 1 species